UCGAGAAUAUUCCACAAUGGACGAAAGUCUGAUGGAGCGACGCCGCGUGCAGGAAGAAGGUCUUCGGAUUGUAAACUGCUUUUCUACGGGAUGAAUAAAUGACAGUACCGUAGGAAUAAGAAGCUGCAAACUACGUGCCAGCAGCCGCGGUAAUACGUAGGCUUCGAGCGUUAUCCGGAUUUAUUGGGCGUAAAGGGUGUGUAGGAGGCUUUUGCGCGUCUCAUGUUAAAUCUCAUCGCUCAACGAUGAGGCUGCAUGGGAUACGGCAAGGCUAGAGGGUGCGAGAGGUCUAUAGAACGCAUGGUGUAGGGGUGAAAUCCGUUGAUAUCAUGCGGAAUACCAAAGGCGAAGGCAGUAGACUGGCGCAUUCCUGACUCUGAAACACGAAAGCGUGGGGAGCAAAAAGG
rnacentral:rRNA from 1 species